UACAGAGGUCCCAAGCGUUGUUCGGAUUCACUGGGCGUAAAGGGUGCGUAGGUGGUCGGGUAAGUCUGAUGUGAAAUCUCCGGGCCUAACCCGGAAACUGCAUCGGAUACUAUUCGGCUAGAGGGUUGGAGGGGGGACUGGAAUACUUGGUGUAGCAGUGAAAUGCGUAGAUAUCGAGAGGAACACCAGUGGCGAAGGCGAGUCCCUGGACAACUACUGACACUGAGGCACGAAAGCUAGGGGAGCAAACAGG
rnacentral:rRNA from 1 species